rnacentral:tRNA from 1 species
GGGCGGUUAGCUCAGCUGGUAGAGCAUCGGCCUUACAAGCCGAGGGUCGCAGGUUCGAGCCCUGCACCGCCCACCA